UGGCCCAUUGGCAGGCAGUGAGUUAGAUUAUAGAACAGGUGAGGUGGCCCAUUGGCAGGCAGUGAGUUAGAUUAUAGAACAGGUGAGGUGGCCCAUUGGCAGGCAGUGAGUUAGAUUAUAGAACAGGUGAGGUGGCCCAUUGGCAGGCAGUGAGUUAGAUUAUAGAACAGGUGAGGUGGCCCAUUGGCAGGCAGUGAGUUAGAUUAUAGAACAGGUGAGGUGGCCCAUUGGCAGGCAGUGAGUUAGAUUAUAGAACAGGUGAGGUGGCCCAUUGGCAGGCAGUGAGUUAGAUUAUAGAACAGGUGAGGUGGCCCAUUGGCAGGCAGUGAGUUAGAUUAUAGAACAGGUGAGGUGGCCCAUUGGCAGGCAGUGAGUUAGAUUAUAGAACAGGUGAGGUGGCCCAUUGGCAGGCAGUGAGUUAGAUUAUAGAACAGGUGAGGUGGCCCAUUGGCAGGCAGUGAGUUAGAUUAUAGAACAGGUGAGGUGGCCCAUUGGCAGGCAGUGAGUUAGAUUAUAGAACA